rnacentral:misc_RNA from 1 species
GAUGAAGAACGUAGCGAAUUGCGAUAAGUAAUGUGAAUUGCAGAAUUCCGUGAAUCAUCGAAUCUUUGAACGCAAAUUGCACUCUCUGGUAUCCCGGAGAGUAUGCCUGUUUGAGGGUCGGUAAAAUGAAAUAUCGAUGUGUUGCUUUUUUUUUGCAACAUUUCGGAAUUGGGUUAACUUGAUCCUCUCAAGUGACCUAAAAUUCAUUACUUCGGUAUGAUUAACGUAUUUAAUUAUUUCGUUUUGAAUGCCGAAAAUUAUUAGAUGUGGCUAUUUAACAUAGCAUCACUUCUAUAAUUUUUUGAAUUUCGACCUCAAAUCAGGUAAGAGUACCCGCUGAACUUAAGCAUAUCAAUAAGCGGAGGA